rnacentral:rRNA from 1 species
AUACGGAGGUUGCAAGCGUUGUUCGGAAUCAUUGGGCGUAAAGCGCGUGUAGGCGGUUUCUUAAGUUCGGCGUGAAAGCCCGGGGCUCAACCCCGGAAGUGCGUUGAAUACUGGGUUACUAGAGAACGGGAGAGGGAAGCGGAAUUCCUGGUGUAGGGGUGAAAUCCGUAGAUAUCAGGAGGAACACCGGUGGCGAAGGCGGCUUCCUGGCCCGUUACUGACGCUGAGACGCGAAAGCGUGGGGAGCAAACAGGAUUAGAAACCCUAGUAGUCC